AGCUUCUAGUCCGACGUCCCUUAUCCGCACUUCAUCGUUCCCUUCGUCUCCCUCGCAUCGCCAUCCAGUGAUGGCGCUCCAACCCUUCUCGUCGGCCGCCGCCGCCGCCGCCGCCGCCGCCGCCGCUCGGAGGCUGACUCCUUCGUCUCUCCUCCUCCCUCCAAGAACAGGAAACAAUCACUCUGGAUUCCCUGGUACAUGCAUGAAUAAGUUAUCAUGGAGCUCUACUGUAAACUACGUAAGACUACAGGUCGGAAAUGCAUUCUCAAGCAGGCACUUGGGUACUAAACUCAUCAAGAAGAGAGCAGGAGUCUUGAGGUGUGCAACUAUUGAAGAAAUUGAAGCUGAGAAAUCUGUGAUUGAGAAGGGUGCUAAAGAGAGGAUGGAAAAGACCAUUGAAAUGGUUCAAGGAAAUUUUAAUGCAGUGAGGACAGGGAGAGCAAAUCCUGCCAUGCUUGACCGGGUUGAGGUUGAGUACUAUGGAAGUCCAGUUAGCUUGAAAAGCAUUGCACAGAUCAGUACUCCAGAUGGAAGUUCACUCCUUGUGCAGCCAUAUGACAAGUCUUGUCUAAAAGCUAUUGAGAAGGCUAUAGUCAAUUCUGAUAUUGGUUUGACGCCAAAUAAUGAUGGAGAAGUCAUAAGAUUGAGCAUUCCCCAGCUGACAUCUGAGCGAAGAAAGAGAUUAUUUUUACCAAUGGUAUUCCUGGAGCUAUCAAACUGGCUUUUAUCGUCAAAGAGUUGUCAAAAGUUGUUGCUAAACUGGCCGAGGAAGGAAAGGUCGCUAUUAGAAAUAUAAGGAGAGAUGCCAUUAAAGCCUAUGAGAAACUUGAGAAGGAGAAAAAGCUUUCUGAAGAUAAUGUUAAAGAUUUGUCAAGUGAUCUGCAGAAAGUGACAGAUCAAUACAUGAAGAAGAUUGAUUCCAUCCAGAAACAGAAGGAAAAGGAAUUGCUGACAGUAUAGCUAUCUAAAAGCAUGUUCAAAUUCCUGUGUGAUAUCAACUGGUAGUGUAAGCUGUAGCGCUUCUCUUUUCCAUAUUAUAUCUGGUGAUCAUGUCAAAGUUGAUCUCUUUUUUUUCAACAAAAAAGCAAUUGAUUUGAUGGUUUUUCUUAUGUUCACAGUUGAGCUACAUUGUUACAUGUAUACUAAGCACUGAGAAUUCUCUUAUAAUUGUCAGUUUUGACUUGGAUAUCAGUUGGCAAUUGGUCGUGAAUAGAGUUGAGCUACUAUACCUGUUCUUGAGAGGAUUUUGAUGGAUGAUGAUUCCAAUGAAGCACCAAGCUUGCAAAGAAGUCAUUGUGGACUUGGUAUAUAUAUAUAUCAUGUUUCAUGCUCAUCUUUUUUCCUCGUUUGAUUGUGUAAACAUCAACAAGAAAUUAAUCCAAGUUGAGGAUUAGUGCUCUUCUAGAUGAACAA